GUGAGUAACACGUGGGCAAUCUGCCCUGCACUCUGGGACAAGCCCUGGAAACGGGGUCUAAUACCGGAUACUGAUCAUCUUGGGCAUCCUUGGUGAUCGAAAGCUCCGGCGGUGCAGGAUGAGCCCGCGGCCUAUCAGCUUGUUGGUGAGGUAACGGCUCACCAAGGCGACGACGGGUAGCCGGCCUGAGAGGGCGACCGGCCACACUGGGACUGAGACACGGCCCAGACUCCUACGGGAGGCAGCAGUGGGGAAUAUUGCACAAUGGGCGAAAGCCUGAUGCAGCGACGCCGCGUGAGGGAUGACGGCCUUCGGGUUGUAAACCUCUUUCAGCAGGGAAGAAGCGAAAGUGACGGUACCUGCAGAAGAAGCGCCGGCUAACUACGUGCCAGCAGCCGCGGUAAUACGUAGGGCGCGAGCGUUGUCCGGAAUUAUUGGGCGUAAAGAGCUCGUAGGCGGCUUGUCACGUCGGUUGUGAAAGCCCGGGGCUUAACCCCGGGUCUGCAGUCGAUACGGGCAGGCUAGAGUUCGGUAGGGGAGAUCGGAAUUCCUGGUGUAGCGGUGAAAUGCGCAGAUAUCAGGAGGAACACCGGUGGCGAAGGCGGAUCUCUGGGCCGAUACUGACGCUGA
rnacentral:rRNA from 1 species